UACGUAGGGCGCAAGCGUUUAUCCGGAAUUAUUGGGCGUAAAGAGCUCGUAGGCGGUUUGUCGCGUCUGCCGUGAAAGUCCGGGGGCUCAACUCCGGAUCUGCGGUGGGUACGGGGCAGACUAGAGUGAUGUAGGGGAGACUGGAAUUCCUGGGUGUAGCGGUGAAAUGCGCAGAUAUCAGGAGGAACACCGAUGGCGAAGGCAGGUCUCUGGGCAUUAACUGACGCUGAGGAGCGAAAGCAUGGGGAGCGAACAGG
rnacentral:rRNA from 1 species